UACGUAGGUGACCAGCGUUGUCCGGAUUUACUGGGCGUAAAGAGCGCGCAGGCGGUCGUUCAAGUCGAGUGUGAAAGCCCCCGGCUCAACUGGGGAGGGUCAUUCGAUACUGAUCGACUCGAAGGCAGGAGAGGGAAGCGGAAUUCCCGGUGUAGUGGUGAAAUGCGUAGAUAUCGGGAGGAACACCAGUGGCGAAGGCGGCUUCCUGGCCUGUUCUUGACGCUGAGGCGCGAAAGCUAGGGGAGCAAACGGGAUUAGAUACCCCCGUAGUCC
rnacentral:rRNA from 1 species